GUCCACGCCCUAAACGUUGGGCACUAGGUGUGGGAGGUAUUGACCCCUUCCGUGCCGCAGCUAACGCGAUAAGUGCCCCGCCUGGGGGAGUACGGCCGCAAGGCUAAAAACUCAAAGGAAUUGACGGGGGCCCGCACAAGCAGCGGGAGCGUGUGGUUCAAUUCGAUGCUACGCGAAGAACCUUACCAGGGCUUGACAUGCUGGUGGUACUGGACCGAAAGGAAAGGGACCCUUCGGGGAGCCAGCACAGGUGUUGCAUGGCUGUCGU
rnacentral:rRNA from 1 species